AUGACGAUGUGAAGUUUGAGCAACAGGAGAGUGUACUCCGCCUGAGAAGACAGAGAAUGCCCCAUUCCUCCACACACGACCACGAUGGGCCCCGGAUUCGGGGGAGUCUUGCUGGAAGAUAGAGAACAGCCAGAAACAUCGGAUGAGAGAAGAAGCCCUGCACAUCUCAAAGCAAUUCCUUUACAGCCUCUAUGGGAAUCCACAGUAAACCAACAUUCACGCUUUCUUCUGGGAUGAGAGAUGGACAUUCCAUUGCUGUUAAAAAAGCUGUA